rnacentral:rRNA from 1 species
UACGAAGGGAGCUAGCGUUGUUCGGAAUUACUGGGCGUAAAGCGCGCGUAGGUGGUUUGUUAAGUUGGAUGUGAAAGCCCCGGGCUCAACCUGGGAACUGCAUCCAAAACUGGCAAGCUAGAGUACGGUAGAGGGUGGUGGAAUUUCCUGUGUAGCGGUGAAAUGCGUAGAUAUAGGAAGGAACACCAGUGGCGAAGGCGACCACCUGGACUGAUACUGACACUGAGGCGCGAAAGCGUGGGAAGCAAACAGG